GGAGAUUCUGUCUGCUUCCAAUUUUAAUGAACAACUUUUUAAAAACUUUAUUUCUGAAAGGUUACUCAGAAAGGGCUUUUAAAACUAAAUGAAAACAUGUCUGUGCUUCCAAAGAGAAGUAAGGGAAUACCUACUUCAAAGAAAAAGGAAGGAGCUGAGGGUGGAGCGAAUCCAUCAUGGCCCUGGCUUCAAUGCCCAAUACCAAAAAUAAACAGAACCAAGGAAAAGCAAAACCCCAUGGAAAGGAUGCUAAACCCUUGGCUGCAUCAGCAUUUUCAAACUCCAGUACAAAACUCUACACCUGGAGCACUCCUAGCAACCACCAGCUUCUACCUGAGGAGAGUAUUCUUUGAUCUGCAGUGCUGGCAUGUACUCUGGUUUGCUUAGUGAAUGUGUUUGGACACAUUCUUUUUUUUUGCAAGACUCUUUAAAAUUGAGAAUCAGCCCAAAUUAAAGAGUUGCUACAUACUUAUUGACCUGUUCAUUUGUGUGGAGGCCCAUUUUUGAGGUUAAUUUUGGUCACAAAUGUGUUGAUACACAGCACAUUCAUAUUGACAUUUAUUACAUGUUAAUAUUGUGUUAAAUGUGUUUAGUGUAUUUAUU
rnacentral:lncRNA from 1 species